AAGCCAGCCAGGGUGCCAUUGGCCUUCGCCUCGCCGGUCUGGAUUGCUAAUCAGGACGCGAAGGUGCGCAUCCCGAGCACGCGCCGUUUCCAACGCCGCCGUUGGAAACCAACCACGAGGACGAGAGCCACGUGAGACGAAAGCGUGAGGACCCCAACUCCCUCUCGCGAAAUUGGAACGCUUCUAGUUCUCUCUCUCUCUCUCUUUCCACCGUUUCGCCGAAAACUUUCGCCCGCGUCGCACGCGAAUCAUUUUCCAAAACGGGUGAAUGGUUGUUCGACUUUUUGAUGUUUGUCGCCACUGUUGUGUAACAGGAAUACUUGUGUAAGACUAUUUAUUUACCUCUGUUGCACGCACGUGUGAAUGAGAGGAAAUAAGAAACAGAGGGCUAUGCAAGAACGAAAUUAGUAAUUCAGUAAUAAUGGUGUGCUUCAAUUUCUUUCUAGGUUUCCAGAGCGCGAAGUUUACAGGGGACGAGCAUUUGGAUAUUUAACCAAGUGAGCGCGAGUUCGUAGCUGUGACAGUUAACACCAACUUCGUGGAGAGUAAAUAGUUUACGUAAGAUUAUAAUGUAUAAUAGGUCGGUGGCGUUUCGAUGGAUUUAUUUUGGACGCAACAACGUCUCGAAAGAGGUUUGAACAAUUUUUGCGAAAACUUCUGCGGACACUGAAAAUUGAAGUCUCCCCUUCACAAAGACACCUUUUCACAAUUUUAUUGAAUUCUGAACUGUAAUUCUGUCAAAGUUCGAGUAAAGUGAAAUCUGAAAAGACUGAAAAAUUUUGUUCCACCAUGGAAUUCACCACGAUCUUCAAGUUCAGAGCAUCCCCUUUUGCAACGAGAUUUCAAAACUUGCUGUACAAUUCCGUUAAGAUUCAAGAAAUUCCUAAUCUUAAAUGUUCAAAGUAAUAAUAAAAUAG